AUAUUUUACACCUACUGUAAGUUUAGUUUCUUAUAGACACAAUCUUUUUAAAAUUAACCUCCAAGCAUUGGUUUGGUCCAUUCCUCCUCUGAAAUAGAGCUUUGGUUUGGAUGGGGUAAAACAUAGUAAAAGUCUUAACCCAAAGCACCAGGUGACAAAGGUACUCCAAGUCUGGACAAAAAAACAGAGGCCAAACUCAAAACAAAAAAAUGUCUGUCUCUUCAAUGUCAGAAAAUUCCACACUAUAUUAAGCCACCAUGACCUUUCACACUUUACAGCAGGGAGUCUUCACAAUUUUGUCUUGAUGACAUAACAAAAAUUCUUGCCAACUACAAUCACAAUACAGUUUUUCCAUGUAUCAUUGUUCUCUGUUGUUAUUAUUAUUUCUAGGUUUAAUACAGAUCACUGCUCUGCAAUAUCCAGGUAGACUUUCAUAUGAUAGCCCUCACUCAAUUAAGAGGGAUGCUCUUUUUUGUAGCUACUGUUUGUACUGUUUUUCUGCGUUGAGCACAUUGUAUGCUGUUUACUAGACAGGAGAUGACAAUUAUUAAGGCAAUUAAAGAAGUAUUAGCAGAUACAAAUAACACUCUUGUUUUGUCUUCCUGUCCUGUUUGAGACUAAUGGGCAGUUUGAGAUGUUGGCCCAUCCAGACAUAACUCCAACCUGCUUUAAUUUUGCAUUGGCGCAUGCUAAAAACAUAUAAUCCAACAUAUCAUCACAUGACUGGUUUUCUUACCUUCGUAAGGAUGUGAAUCAUCUUGUCAGACAUAACCUUGACACAAAUAAUAAUAAGUCAUAGAGCAUCUAUUAGGUAAAAUAACUAGAACCCUAUGUAUACAUAAAAUUGAUUAUCUUUAUAGUCUUCCCUCUACACACCAUGUAGGGCUUAUGAAAUCUUUACAUUCUGAAUAGUGCUUUAAUGAAGGGCUCUCUGAAAAUAACAUUCUUUGAAUUUGAAAAGCACUUUAAUUUUAGAAUUGUUUGUUCUGAAACUGUUUGCAGUAUUCUACAGAGAAAGAAAUGGGUAAACAAAUUGUUACUGUCAUACAAAAUAAAAUAUUUUCAUCGGAACAUUUGGCAAUAAAUGUAUUUUACAUAAA